AGCACGGAAGAUGUACUGUUCAUGCAGUAAAGCUGCACAGAAUUGUUAAGAGUAUCUUCUAACACAAUCAAGUCUAAGCUGCAAGUUUUGAAGCAUAUCGCUGUGGUUAGUCGAGACUGCUGCUACUUGCUGCAAUUAUUUCAUCCGCUGUGAUGAAGGCUAUUAAGCUCAUUCUGCCACCUAUACUUGUUGUUUGCUCCUCUCUUCAUGUGAUUUUGCACUCAAAGAUCAACAUUAACCCUGAUAGCUCUUACUUACUAUCCUUGGUACUUUUAAUAUGAUCCCUUGCUGAACCAGAUCCUGUUUCAGUCAAGAUCAAAUGAAAACAUCCAGGAUGGAAUCCUUUUGCUCCCUGCCUCGGAUGGCCAAAGCCUAAGAUCUUCCUUGUCUGUCUGGUGUUGUUAAACUGUCCAACCGAUUCAGCAAUUUGUAGAUAUGUUAAAUGAGGUGCUAUUUUACUUCUUUUGGAACUCAAUUUGCCAUAUCUUCCGUACUGCUUGUAGUUCAAAGUAGCUAGUAUUUUGUAGCAGAAGGAUGUGGAUUAGCUGAACCCUGAUAGGUGCUUGCAUCCUUCUUGAAGUUGUAUCUUAGCUCUGUAACAGGCAACAUAUUUUUUCUCAAGUGUUCUGCGGUUGUGCCAAUGAUACAUUUCCAUUGCUCGUUGUAUCUGUAAAGCUCAAGACAGGACUAGAGCACAAGAAUCAGAAUGGAACAGACAACUACCAAACAUGAGGGUCUUUCUG